GAUAUGAUGGCUUAGUAAAAGGUCUGAGUUAGAAAACAUGUUUCUUAAGUGAGCAUUGGGAUAAAGGUAGAGGGCCCUAGCCCUUGCAUAAGUAUAGCACUGUGGCUCUCGCAACCUCUUCUACAGCAAUUGCUUCAUGGUUUCGUGAAGUGGGUUGGAUUAAAAGGCGUGGGCUUCAUUCAGAGCAUGAAUGCUUGCCUAGACUUCUCCCAACAUUUUAACCCGAUGCUCUCUUAAGAAAACCUUGUUUUCUUGUGAUAACAUCAUUAUGUCUGAUCCUUUCUGGGAAACAAUAUAUUUUUCUUCAGAAUUAACUUUGCUGAGAUGCUAUUUUUCGUUAAUGUAAACUCAUGGCACUAGAUUCCACAUUUUGCGUACAGUGAAACUUUCCAAGGAUUCAAUCUAGUCGUUUGUUGCGCUGUUGAUUGAUUCUUGCUGACUCUUUCAUUUUUUACUGCAAUAUGGUUACUAUUUUUCUUUCCAUGAAUCCAUGAUUAAACAUACCAUUUAGCUGAAAUUCAAUAUAUUUGUCAGGUUCCCUCUUUUGUCCAAAGGAAUUAGAUUUUGCCAACAUCUGCGCCCGAUGUGGUGCACCAUUUGUCACACAUUUAAAAUGUCUGCUUCUACUUGUAGCAUUGAAUUGCAAGAUUGAAUCAUGCAUGACCAUGUGCACAAGUAGUAAAAUGUUGGAACUCCAUGCUAUCUUAUUUGUUCAUGCUUAUGCUGAUUCUUGCUUAAAAUAACUAACUCUUGCUUCUCUACAUUGUAGCCAAGCUGGCGCAGGCCAAAGGGUAUCGACUCCCGUGUCCGGAGGAAGUUCAAGGGAUGUACCUUAAUGCCCAACAUUGGUUAUGGUUCCGACAAGAAGACCAGGCACUACCUUCCCAACAAUUUCAAGAAGUUUGUAGUCCACAAUGUAUCUGAGUUGGAGUUGCUUAUGAUGCACAACAGGUAAUGUGUUUUCACUGACAUGGGAUCUUGAGGACUGAAGAUUUUUCAUGUAAACUAUCCUGUCAAAAGUGAUCAUGUUUGAAUUCUAAUUCUUAAAUAUUUAUUUCUUGUGAGCAGGUCAUACUGUGCUGAAAUUGCUCACAAUGUCUCUACCCGGAAGCGCAAGGAGAUUGUGGAGCGUGCUGCGCAGCUUGACAUUGUGGUCACAAACAAGCUUGCCAGGAUUCGCAGCCAGGAGGAUGAGUAGUAUGUUAGGCAGAUUGCAGCUCUGGUUAAUUUGUUUGUAGGAAGCAGACCUGUUUGAAUAUUUCGUUGUUACACUGGUAUAUUGACGCCUUAAUCAGUAUUGAGCUCAACCGAGGACAGCUACAGUUUUGGAUGGUAUAUUGACGCCUUAAUCAAUAUUGAGCUCAACUGAGCAGGACGCCUUAUUUUGAACUUUAUACUGUCCUGUUAAUUUGAGUGUCAAGCUCGGUAUGGGAAAUGAACUGAUUGUAGGCAUUGUGCCGUUGUGCGCUCAACUCGAUCUCACCAUGGAGGCGAACUGAGUGAUCUGCUUAUUUCCCCUAGCCGGUUUGAACGCCAUUGGUGGGACCAGAAAAGGAGGGGAGGUGGUGAACUGGUGAUUGGUGUAGACCCUAAUAAGUUCAGGAUAUCAUUGGAAUAUUUAAGGUUCAGUGUUCAGAAGUGAUGCAGCGGCCAGCUGCUGCAAGCGCAACAUUCCACCCUGAAUUCAGAUGAGACGUUGCACGUUCAGAUGAUAUGGAUGUCAAAGCAGACCAACAAGUAGGUUCAGUUUGUUCUCUACUCGAUCUCAUGCUCACAACUACUAAAGCAUCGAAAUGUUUCAUUAUACACAAGCAGAUUCGAAUUAAUCAUACUCGUGAAAAUCUUUAUUUUAUUCAUCAGCUGGCCUCACGGCACAGCACACGCAGCCUUUGUUCAGAAUCAUCAGCGUUAGUUCAGAAGACACAUCAGCCUGUCCUGUCCAGGAACAUCUCCUACCCCUAAUCAAGGGAAUGAUCUUGGAAAGGGCCUGACGACUCGUGAUGCCGAGACACCUGUUCUUGGCUGAUUCUCUGGGGCCUCGUUCUUGUGCCAAGCUUCUCGGUUCGGCCGUAGGCGAUCCCCAGGCUAAAAAGUGCGCAGGCGGGAUCUUCUACUUGUCGCCUAGGAAAGCAAUUCACUCUUUUGUUUGGGAAUGUUAAAAUUUAGGACUAAAGUUUAGUCCCUUUUUGUGAAAGUCAUUUACGUACAAAUUGUCAGACCUUAGGGUGAGUUCAAUGGCUGAGGCCGGGGGCAGGGGCCUACGCCCCCUAGCACACUUCAAUUUCCACUACAAAAUUUAAAUUUUGAUCAAAAUUUUAAAAAAAUUAGCACUACCGGUUCCACUACCACAGGGAAAAUAUUCUAGUUCUGUCCAUGAACGAGUGGGAACACCAUCAAAAGGAGACUUAGUCAUCCCUCGAGCACCAUCCACGUCAAAGGCGUCCUGCAAGAUUGGCUGCAUGGGGCCACAAGUAAUUUUUUUUAUAGGGAGUUGGGAUAUUACAUUAAUCUUUUUUCUAUAAACCUGAAAUACUGGGUUUUCGGAAAACUAGUUCCGAUUCUCACCAAGAGAAAACAAAACCACUUUAUACAAUCGGACUUAACUUCUUUUCUUUUAACAUUUCUAGACAUUUGCUCAAUUAUUAUAUUUCUCUGAGUUAUGAUGCGUUAUUUGCUCAAUUGCUACAAUUGGUUCUCUGCGUUAUGAUGCGGUGUUACAGAUAUAUAUCUAUUUUGGACCCAAAUUUGACACCCAUGGGAUUCAAGUUCCACAUGGAUUCAUCCUAUUUGGUGAGAUUUAAAACUUUGGCAUGGCUUCUUGGAUGUACAUUGAUUGGUUCCGCAUUUCUGCCAGUCUUCUUGAUUCUUGCGAUUUCCACGAUGACCCAGUAAGCAAACAACAGUGCUUUCCUUCUAAUGUUUGUGUUUCCUUCUUCUUUACCCUUUGCCUCCAAGAGAUCAUUGUGUAUUGGAAUAGGAAGCAUUAGAUGGACUACCCAUAUGAAUGGAUAUAGUGUAACUGCAUGAAGAAGGAAAAAUGCAUCGUCUUACAUCCUAUAUCAACAUUUAAUGGAUUGGGUGUAGGAAAAAGGCAAUAAAUGAUGUAGUAGGGUGACAUUUGUUUUUCUUCCUCUUUUCUUCCCCCUUUUGCCAAAUCUUUGUAUGCUCAGGAACUUGCAUGAGUAAUUCAAAGGUUCAGGUUGGCGCUUUGCCCGCCGUAGGUUUCUCAAAAAAAAAAAAAACAAGCGAUUGUAACAACACUGCGACUAACAUACUGGAAAUCAUGGUGCCUCUGCAGAUCUGGUCAGAUUUCGUUCAUUAGGAGCGUUGAAUCGUUGGGAACUUGGGAUCGAUCGAGACGAGUUUCUUUCCGUUGCAGCGAACGGAUGCUCGCGCCGAAGAGGAGCGGCGCGUUGGCUUGGAUCCGUCUUCCAUUCCUGCGCCGAACAAGAUUAGCAACAGGCUUGCUUGCUCAAGGCCAGAUUCUGACAAUGACUGACGGCGUUGGAAAUGUUGGACCCUUGGACGAAGAUCAUGCAUCAGAAACUCUUAACCUCGCCUGAAUGCGUAAGUGGCGCCAUGCCAUUGCACUUGUUUGUGUAGUCUGGUAAAUGGAGGAAGUCUCAGUAAUUGCAAUUGUGUGCCGUGUGCGCACAACUGAAUCUCUGCGGGUGCUUGCAUGAGUAACUGAACAUUCAAACUCAAUCUGAAUCCAUUCAGAAAGGCUCAACAACCAGCACAUCAAGCUGACAAUUUAGGACAACUCCUCGGAUAGAACUAUCAUUGGAACAUUUCAGACAUUUCAAGUUCAUGAAUCAGAAGUGAUGCAACGGCCAGCUGCCGAACGGAAUAUAUCUCCAAAUAUUUUAAGAUUUUUCCUGUUUUAUAACUUAGUAAAUUGAGUGUUAUGCUGAAGGCGGCUUUUGUGUGGACGACAGUCUAGUUCAAGGUGCUUUGCAACAAGGCCACAAGGGGAGUUGAUGUCUUGAUGAGUGUUCAGAUUAAGAACUUGCUGGAUGUUCAGGGUUAACUGUUCGAUCUGUUGAGACUGCAAUAAGCACAGCAGGGUUUACAUUGCCUGUUUGUCGACCGCAAAAUUACAAGAUGGUGUACUUCAGGUCUCUUAAACUGUUAUAGAUGAUGCCCUUCAAGUCAUGCACCUCGCGUGAAUAACUUAGGUGAACUGUUUGAUGUACUAGCAGUCUAGCACACGGUGCUCAGUGAAAUUUCAAUUUUAACAGUUUACGUUUCAAAUUCUGGACAAUCUGUUUUAGCUUUGCAGUUGGUUGAAGUUCCUUUGUGUUCUUUGUGAAUUUAUCUUUCCAAUAGUUAUUUUCGGGAAUUUUUGACCAGCUGUACCUUACACUUUUGAAGGAGAAAGUUAAUUAAAAAAAUCGGCGCGGGCCCACCUGUCAUACCCCUUCUCUUCUUUUUUCCCCGGGCUCUCGUCCUUUGCCCGCAGGACACCGCCAGCCAUCGCCGCCUGGCCCCAACCACUCCGUUCCCCCUCCCUCGCAGUCAACACACGUGCGCCGGACUUCACACGCCGCGCUGCCACACCCCCUCGCCACCUGCUCCGUCAACCAUGCGCCACUGGCGCCAUGCCUUCGCCCACGCGCGCCACUGGGCGCCACGCCGCGUCUGCGGCAGCACUGCUCGCUCGCCCCACCGUCUUUGGCCACUGCUCGGCCUCGCGCAGACGCCGCACCGCGGCUUUAUCUCCUCCCCGCACCGCCGGCCUCUUCUCCCUCUCCCUCUCCCUCUCACCCUCACUUCCACGCCACAGCCAAGAAACCGAGCAACACAGAGCCGAGCGGGUGACUCCUGUCCGCCGGCCAAAUUCACCCACUCACCCCCGCCAAUCUCCAAUCACCGCCGCCCACCACUCCUCCAGCUACCUCCUCCACAUCUCCUUUACCUGCUCCAUGGCCCACAUCACCGGAGAUUAGAGCUCCAGUAGCCGCCCUGGCCGCCACCCGCCCGAGCUCCACCUCACCGUCGAACUCCACCCUCCCGGCCUCCUCUGCUCCCACCAAAAACUAAAACCGAACCUUGGUGAGUCUCCGAUCGUGAUGCGCCCGCGGUUUAGUGGGAAUAGUCUAGUUUCCGCGCUCGUUCUCGAGCCCACCGCCGGCCGUGCGCCACCGCCCGUCGCGCCAAUGGCUAGGGUUAGGGUCUCGGGGAUUUGAGUAGAGGAGGAGGUGCGCUUAGGUGUGGGGAACAAUUUGUGGUAGUCUCUGGGGUGGGAACCGCAGCCCUUGCGCUGGUGGCCGCGCCGCCGCCGCCGCCGUGCUGGCUCGGGCGCGAGCCCAAGGUUGACGAAGGGGGCGGGGUGUCAUGUGUGAGAGAAAUAUAAGUCCAGGGGGUUUUAGGUUAAAGGGUUGGGUUUAAAUGGAGAGGUGGAAAACUUAGAGGAACUUAAGUGCUAGAUCUAGGGGCUUUAGUACAAAAGAAAGGGCAAAUCCGCUAGGAUAAUUUUGUUUUGAGGGCCUAGCUGCAAAAGUAACUUUUCUUUUUAGUUUCAGUUGCAAUGGCUGAAACUUUGAAAAUCCGUAUAAAAUCAUAGGGAAGGGAGAAAAAUGCGUGAUAAAAUUUUCGUUUACUGAUUCUCAUGUCUACUUAGGAAAAAUAUUUGUUUUGGUUAAAUAAGUGUUUUUAUUGCUGAUUAAAAUGCCUGUUGUUUAGUCCCCUUAUGUUAAUAAAUAGCUAGAGUACUCAUAAAAUCUUGUGCAGUAUGAUCCCAUGUUGAAAAGUUCUCUGGAAAGUUUGUAGAACCAAAUUAAUUAUAUAAAUUUAGAUAUAAAUUAUUUUUAAUAUCUAUAUUUUUGCAAUGUUUGAUUUUUAGUAAUUUCUGUGGGCUGAAACUUUUAUAGCAGUGUGUUUGUGUGAUUAGUAAGCUUCUGUAAAUGGUGUAGGUUCAUGUAACCCAUAGUGAAUCCUGAAUGAUUAUUCUAGCUAUAAACUAGUUUAAAUUAUUGAAAAUAAAUUGGGGGCCCAUAAAUUAUUUUUAAGCUCUUAUUAGUAACAUGUUCAUACCUGAAAAAGUUGCUAUCAAAAUCUCUAUGGUUGCUUGAAUAUGUCAUUUAUUUGGCCUUUAGCGUGUUAUUGCUAUAGUUCACUUAUAUGCAUGUUUUACCCAAAAUCUUGUUGCCAGCAUGACAUGUUAAAUCACUCAUUUAGGGCCUGAUAUUCAUGCCAUUCUACAACCCAAGUUACUGAAAUAAUAAUGGUUUAGUGAUAAUGAUAUAUCUCACAUGAAAAACUCUGGUGUUCCUUGUGUAGACAAUGAUGUGUUGGUACGCUCUUCUUUGAUCUUAAAUGUUGUACGAUUGAGUUGCUGCAAAGUUAACUUGUUGUAUGAUUGAGUUGCUGCACUCUCUAAACUUGGAUUCAUACAUGUGUUAUCAUCUUUCAAUCAACUCAUACAUAUGCAUCUUCAUGUAGAUCACGGCAGCGCGGCCUUCCCCGCUGGCGUGUCUGCUUUUGCAAAAAAAACCCUAAAUUGGAUCGCGAUCCGAUAUUUUACAAAAUACCCCCUCAUUUGGAUCGCGAUUAUUAAUUGCGAUCUGAUUAUUUGCAAAAGGACCCCUGGAAGUUACAAAUAAGCUCUCCUCUGUCUGAUGGCCUCUCAUUUGGCUUAUCGUUCUCCCCUCUCGUCUCCUCUCGACCAUCCGCCGCUGGACGUCCCAUCCAAUUUGAGCCCAAUGUCCGGUCCAAUAUCAAACCCUAGAACCAUAUUUUACUCUUCCGAUCCAGAGGAGAUUCGCCGGCUCCAGCGGCAAUGCCCGAAAGCGCGCGAUGAUUCACCAGCUCCGAUGUACGCGGCAUCGCCAAUCCACCCGCAUCGUUCGGCUGGUGGCGCCGUGCGGGAAGGUACGGUCUCCGAUUGCAUCGCGUUACCGGGAAGGUAUGGCUUAGGUGUCGCCUCUAAAGCACUGCCUACCCCUAUGGGUGACAAAUCCAACUGAACACAAUCCUGUGCAGUACCGCUUCAUUAGUGGCACCUGGUCAUAAAAAACUGAUCGUUGCAGCCUGUAUGGUCCUGCACCGGGUCCUUGUAGCCUCAUCCACCUUAUCUACAGCUGUUGCAUUCGCAAUCGAUGGUAUUCACAUUUUUUUUCUACACUGUUUCCCCUUAUUAUUUCAAUUUUCUUUGGGCUAGCUAAUCAAUUUUGCAUUAUGGGCUUGAAGGAGCAGUGGGCUAGUAUUUGAAAAGAGCAUGGAAGACCGGUUCGGUGGAGUGGGAAGAGCAAGAGGCUAGUCCUACACUCCUACUCUAGCAUCCUUUGUUUUCAUUACCAAGUCAUAGUGAACUAGGCUGGGCUUGUUAACGCUGCAAACAACUGUUGUUCUAUUUCCUCUGUUUCAGAGUACAAUGGGCCCGUUUGGUGGGGUUCUGGGAGCGGCUCCUCGAGCGGCUUCUCCUGAAACCCUGCCAAAGGGUGUGCUCCGGGCGAAACGGCUCCGGCUCCGGCGGCGGAGCCCCGCGAAUCCCGCUGAGAGGAGCCCUUUCGGGGAGGCGGAGCCAAAAAAAUGGCUCCCCCUGUAUUCCACACUUAAGCACAGAUCCACUUCACACCUAAACUAUGUAUUCCCUCUCUGUCCAAAAGAAACCCGGCCAUCAUAUACAGCAAAAGAUUAAUGAGUGAAUAAAGACAGACAAUAUGAUAUGCAAAAGUCCAAUUGCUGGUGUUUGGUUGGGGAGGCGGGCAAGUGCUCAACAACCUGUUGGCGUGCACAUGGUUGUUUCACGCAUUCAAAUGGAACAUUCAUGCCUCCAGUUGUAGUUCAAACACAAAUGAGCCCAGCAGGGUGAGCGGGAUCGCGGAGGGGCUCCGCUCCAGUUGUACAAGUGCAAUCACCAGUUCACCACCGAGCGCGGCGUUGCACUGGCGCAGGUAGCAACUGAACAGGAGAUGUACUCCGCUACUACUGACUACUGCCUACUGGUAGUCGAUCUCUAUAUACUGGCGUGUACGAAGCACACGAGCAGAUCAGCACAACACACACGAGCAGAUAAGCACAACCACUGGCGGACGCACGGGGGGCUGGGGGGGGCUGCAGCCCCCCCCCCCUGGGCUGAAAAAAUUUGUAACAGGUUUUCUUUUUAGCAAAAGCCUAGCCCAAAAUAAAUAACUAUUGGCCUACAUACUGCCCAGCACAACCAUCGCACGGCACAGCAAGCGUCGCACUCCUGCGUUCCGCGCCGCCGCCCCCGACGUCUCGUCCCGUUUCGACUUCCACGAUGGCGUCGCCCGCCCUCGUGGCCUCUCGCCUAAUCGAGAUCGGCGAUCGCUGCUCUCCGGCCUCCACUGGACAGCGCCGGGCCGCCGCCCCUCCUGCCCUCCUCCAGUGAACGAUAGCGCCGCCGGUCUCCAGUCCAGGAACUAGGACAACGUCCAGUGAGUGAUCCUUCUUUAUUUCGUUUUAGGUUUAUCUUUUCGUUAUUAGUCUUAGAAAUUUAGUCAAUGAUUGGAAUUCGAUUGGUUUUAUUUUGUAGAAUGGAAAAAUAUUAUGCUAAGAAAGAUGUCGCUGCUUCUACUCAAGAGAGACAACUUGAUCAAAAGAGACCCCGCAUUGAGCUUGAUAUGAAUGAUAUAGUUGCUGAUCCAGGUCUUAGAAAGCCAAUUGAUGAAUUCCAUCAUGAUAUUAGGGAUGAUGCUAGGAGAGCGUAUCUACAGAUGGGUCCAUAUCAACCAAAUAGUGAGUAUGAAAGAACAUCGGGCAAAACUCAAACUAGAGGAUUUGUUAAAUCAUGGUUUACUCAAUUUGAUUGGUUAGAGUACAGUCCUGCUAAGGAUGCAGCCUAUUGCUUUUAUUGCUACCUCUUUAAGCCACCAGCUACAAGCAAGUUUGAUAAUGAUGCAUUCACCAGAGUAGGGUUUAGAAAUUGGAAAAAGGGAAAGGAUUCUUUGCUCAAGCAUUCUCGAUCAAUUAAUGGCUAUCAUAGUGUAGCAAGAAAAUGGUCAAUUGAUUUCGAAAAUCAAAGGCAAAGUGCAGAACAUGUGUGGGCAGUAACAACUGCAGCAGAAGAGGAGGCAUAUAAAGCUCGUUUAACUAUAAUGUUAGGCAUCGCUAGAUUUCUCCUGUUGCAAGCUCUAGCAUUUCGUGGGCAUGAUGAGUCUAAAACAUCCAAAAAUAAAGGGAACUUUUUGGAGAUGCUUGAUUGGUAUAGAAAGAAGGAUCCUAAGGCUGCACUUGUGACAGGUGAGAAUGCCCCAGGGAAUAAUCAAAUGAGUUGUCCGAAAAUUCAAAAAGAUUUGGUUAGGGCUUGUGCAGAGGAGACAAGUGAAUUAAUUAAGAAUGAAAUUGGAGACCGUUGGUUUGCAGUGCUUGUUGAUGAGGCUCGUGAUGCAUCAAUUAAGGAACAAAUGGUUGUGGUUGUGAGGUAUAUAUCAUAUAUUUGUGUGUUUUAUUUGUUUUGUUUUGUGUUUUCAAUUGACCAUUUGCCAAUUUUUGUUUAAUAGGUUUGUCAAUGAUAAAGGAAGUGUGAUUGAGCGGUUCCUUGGCUUGCAACAUGUUUCUGACACCACAUCAUCUUCACUGAAGGGAGCAUUGGUUUCUAUGCUUGCAAAAUAUGGGUUGUCUAUUGCCAAGGUUAGAGGACAAGGUUAUGAUGGAGCUUCAAACAUGAGAGGGCAGUUUCACGGGUUGCAAAGGCUGGUAUUGAAUGAAAACCCCUUUGCCUUUUACAUCCACUGUUUUGCUCAUCAAUUGCAGCUUGUGGUAGUUGGUGUAGCCAGAUGUUGUGCUUCAACGGAUGAUUUCUUCAAUUAUGUCACUUCAGUUGUCAAUACUGUUAGUGUUUCUUGCAAGCGAAAAGAUCAACUUCUGCAGAAACAACAUGAUAUUCUUGUUCAGCAAUUAGAUAGUGGUGAAAUAUCUCCUGGCAGAGGGAAAAACCAAGAAACUAGUCUUGCUAGGCUUGGUGAUACACGAUGGGGUACACAUCACAAAACAUUAGUACGUCUUCUGCACAUGUGGGGAACCUGUGCUUGAGGUGUUAGAGAAUAUUAGUGAUGAUGGAAGUGAUGGGGAAAAGAAAACUAUAGCAUUUGGAUUGAUAGAAAAAAUGGAGUCAUUUCAAUUUGUGUUCAUAUUGCAUCUUAUGAUUAGAGUAUUGGGGAUAACUCAAGACCUAUCACAAUGUUUGCAAAUGAAAAAUCAAAACAUUGUUCGUGCAAUAGGAUUGAUUGGUUCUGUGAUGAGAAAUAUAAAUGCCAUGAGGGAGAAUGGUUGGGAUAAUCUUUUUGAGGAGGUAAAAGCCUUUGCUGUAAAACAAAAGAUAGACAUUCCUAAUAUGGAAGAUAUGAUACCAGUCAGAGGUCGAUCAAAAUGUCGUGGAGCCAAAUUAGUGACCUACUACCAUCAUUUUCAUCAUGGGAUUUUCAUUGUUGUCCUUGAUCAAGUAAUUUGUGAGUUGAGCAAUAGAUUUCCAGAAAGAUCAACUCAACUAUUGAGAUGUGUUGCUUGUCUUGAUCCGACAAAUGAAUUUCCAAUUUUGAGAUAGAGAAAUUAGUUGAGCUUGCAAAGAUUUAUUAUGCUAACUUCAAUGAUUAUGAAUGUGCGAAGCUAAGAACUGAGCUUGAAAAUUUCAUUGAUGAAGUCAAACAUGAUGAAGAAUUUUGCACUUGUAUUGAUCUUGGUAGCCUUGCCGAGAAGAUGGUUCAAACUGAUAGACAUACACAUUUCCCUUUGGUGUAUCGCCUCAUUGAGCUUGCACUGAUAUUACCAGUGACAACAGCAACAGUUGAAAGAGCCUUCUCUGCUAUGAAUAUUAUCAAGACCGACAGGAGGAAUAAAAUGAAUGAUGAUUGGAUGAAUGAUAGCAUGUUAUGCUAUAUCGAGCAGGAUUUGUUUGCAUCCAUCGAAGAUGAUAAAAUUUUGACGCGCUUUCAAGGCUUAAGAAAUCGUAAGAUGAACUUGCCACGUGAGGUCCCAAGGUGCGUAUUAUUUUAGUAUUUUUCUUCUUGUUUGUUAUCUUGAUCAUUGAAGAAGUGUAUGACAUUUAAAAAUUAUGUAGCAUUGGGCGUGGCAGUUCAAGUGGUAUUGGUUCAAGUGGUGUGAAUUCUUGAAGAUGCAAGACUCCAUGUAUUUGGUAUUUUUCUAUACUUAUUAUCAUAAUUCUAUGUAUCUUUACCUUUGAGCACUCUGAAUCAAUCUUAGCUAUAUCUAUUAGUGUACUGGGUUGAGCGAGAAAAAAAAAUUGGCCUAUGAUUUAGCCCCCCUCUGGUCCGUUUCUGGGUCCGCCAAUGAGCACAACACACACACACACGCGAUGGGGAAGAGGCCGAGUGUCCUGGAGUCGCUGCUGGGCCUGUUGGCCAUCCUGGCCGUGCUUCUCGCGUUCCCCGGCAAGGUCGCCGGCGAUGUGUAAGUACCUGCUGCCAUUCCUUUCCAUUCUGCAUCUUAAUUUUCGUCAAUGCCAUAUUCGCUUCAAAGAAUUAUUAAUGUUGAUCUCGUUCACCGAUACUGUGCUAGAAACUAAACGCAUCUUUCUGCAUGAUGAUCACUAGAAUGCUCUGAUAUUGCUUGGACGAUACUUACUGCCUCUGCAUUCUUCUCUUGGCCCUCUGCAGAAUGCCCUUAAUUCAAAUUUCAUUUUAUAAACAUUGACUGAUUACUGCAUUAAAUUAGUAUGCGUCGUAUGCCUACUGCGUAACGCAUUAAUUCAAAUUUCGGGAGUCACUGCUUCAUCCUUGCCGCCCCCUCGCAGGCCAACCUUGGAGGACUCUUUGGACGUGGAGGCCGCUCGAAAGCCCGACUACGUCUCCUUCCUGACGGCGUUCACCAACCACAUCAACAGCACCACAAGCUACCGGAUCGACGGCAACCCCACUACCGGAUACAGGAGCUUUGCCAAGUGCCGGAGAACCCAAAAAACACUCAGCAAACGUUUUACUGAGUGUAACCCUAGGCAACCCGCACUCGGCAAAAAAACAAUCGGCAAACGCGCUUUGCCGAGUGUUUUUUGUCGGACACUUGGUAAAGACUUUGCUGAGUGCCCAAAAAACACUCGGCAAACAUUUUUCGAAAAAAAUAAAAAAAACAAUGAAGGAGGUCCUGGCAGGACCCUGCGCCUGCUCGACCGCCACCAUGCCUCCCGCCGAUGUCGCUGGCUCGCCACCCCCGAUGCUACUCUCCCAUUGCCGGUGGCGAAGCGCACCGCUUCCCUGCUCGAGCAACACGCCGCUGGCCUACUCCCAGCUCCGGCCCUCGGCUGCUCACCGCUGACCGACAGCUGCGCAGGGCCUUUCGUGACGCCGCUCAAUCCCCUGCCGGCGUCCUCCUCGCCCCCGCGCAGAUGUCGCCGGGCCUCUACGCCAGCUUCCUCUUGGGAUCGCUAGAGAGCACCACCUGGACCAACGCCGGCAAGCUGUCGAGCUACACACGCAGAGGAGAAAAAAAUUAGAUCAUCGCAGCGGAUAUGGGGAGGAGGGGAGGGGCGACGGCCGGAUCCGGGGAGGAGGGGUAGGACGGCAGCCGGAUCCGGGAAGGGAGGGAGGAGGCGGUGGCGGAUCUGGGGAGGCCGGAGGGAGGAGGAGGCGGCGAAUCCGGGGAGGGAUGGAGGCGGCGACAACGGACCCGGGGAGGGAGGGAGGAGGGGGACGGCGCCGAAGAGGGAGGGGACGGGCGGGGCAGAUCGGAGAUGGAGGGGGCGGGCGGGGCGGCUCGGAGAAGGGAGGGGCCGAGGUGGCUCGGAGAGAAGGAGGGGGGGGCGCCGAAGAGGGAGGGGGCGGGCGGGGCAGAUCGGAGAUGGAGGGGGCGGGCGGGGCAGAUCGGAAAUGGAAGGGAGGGGCCGAGGUGGCUCAGAGAGAAGGAGGGGGAGAGCUGAUGGGCACGACAGUUAUAUUAGAAUAACUUCGCCGAAUGUCCCGCAUUGGACACUCGGCAAAAACAAAGUCUACCAAGUGUCCAACCUAGGACACUCAGCAAAGUUUUUUUUCCCUCCUCCUUCUUUUCAAUAACGUGUUAUUCUACAUUUGUUUCGAUGCACUUUGAGAAAAGUAGCUCAUCACUCAACAAUAUAUAUUUGAUUAUUCUACUCAUAUUAUUCCAUUAUUUUAUGCGGUCAUAGCUCAAAUUUAAUCUAUAUCAAUUAAAAUUCUAUAAUUGCACUUAAUACAUUAAAAUUAUCAAACGGUUCCAGAAAAUUACCAAAAUUUCACAUGGCCCAAUAUAUGUUCUCUAUUGCCUAUACAAAAAGUUUUGUAGUCAAACCACAAUUCGACCGUCACUUUGACUCCAACUCUUAUCAAAUCCUUCUCAACGAUACGAUUUUGCUUCUGAGAUGCUUCGAUUUGUAAACAUCGUACGUGAUAAAAUGUGCGAAACCUUCUCCAUUUUUUACCAUAACAUCCACGUAUGAUACCAUCACAUCAAGAAAAAUCUCAUAAUUUUUAGAUUUUAUUUGCUUUUUUUGGAAUUUAAAAACCAUUCGACCACACGUUCGUGGUCGUGUUUCCUGAACAAGAUGUUCGAAAUUUCUUUUCAUUUCAUGGGUAAGACCUUAAACUGGGCUAAAUAACAUGAAUAUCAUUUUUCUACCCAUUUUAUUCUAUUAUUUGAAUCACUAGUAGUUCAAAAUUGACUUUAUUCAAAAAAUUGCUUGAAAUGCAAAUAAUUAAUUAAAUAUAGCAAACAAAUAUAAAAAUAUACUAAAUUUUAACAUGAAGUACCACAUGUUGCAUGUGGAGAGUAGAAAAAAAAUUCAAGGUCGGAAGGGGAAAAAAUUAUUUUUUUGCCGAGUGCCAAAAAAACACUAGGCAAACAAGAGCGUUUGCCGAGCGUAAAAAAACACUCGGCAAAUACCCUUGUUUGCCGAGUAUUUUUUGACACUCGGCAAACUCCUUGUUUGUCAAGUGCUUUUAUUUUGCCGAGUGUUUUUAGCUCAGCACUCGGCAAAGAGCUUGUUUGCCGAGUGUCCGAAAAAAUACACUCGGCAAACUAAAAACACUCGGCAAAUUUGAGGUUUCCGGUAGUGCCGGUGCUUGGGGAGCAGAUCCUGUGGAGGCCCCCGGCUGUUUGGCUCCAGAACGUCCUCCACGACACGACCGGGGUGAACUAGGUGACACUGGCCGUCGGGUCAGAUAACCUGUACAUCAGCGGCUUCCGCAACAGGUUUGGAGAAUGGAUCGCCUUCAAAGGCGAUGAGGGGAAGAUCCCCAACUCCAAGCCGCUUACCUUCGGCGGCGGCUACCCUGACCUGUUCGAGAACGUGGGCAACGGCGGAGCUAGGGGGGCAGUGGGGGCCAUGCCCCCCCCCCCCCCCCAACGUGGCAAAAAAAAAUUAACCCCUUAUGUAGCUCCUGCAGUUUAUGUGAUUAUGGGCUAAAAUAUUGCUUAAAUGGGCUUAGCAACAAGGCUUUUGUUUUGUUUGCGGUAGCCUGCUGCAGCGUGGAGACAAUCGCACCACCACCGAGGGCUCCGAAUGGAUCGUGGCGGACUCCAACUCAGCAACUCAUCGUUUCGUUUCUGUUCGCUGCCUUCUCGUCUCCCCAGACCCCAAUUUCCAAAUCUCUAACCCUAUUGGACAGGGCGACGAGCUCACAAGCAUCGGAGAUCGACGCCUCAUCGCCUAAUCACGCGAGACAUCGACAAAAUCUCAAGACCAAGACACAGCGGCCGGCGGCCCCAAAGAUCUUUAUUUUAUUUCUUGCAGUUUACACUGCCAAGGUAACUAGUGGCACUUUGACACUUUAUUGAUAAUUUUGUUUGGUUAAUUUUACUUUGAUUUAGUUCGUUCAAUAGCUUGUAGAUGCUAAUUGAGCAAUUUUUUUUAAGGAUAAUCAUGGUACUAAAAAGGAAGACACUUCAUUCUUUUUUCCAAAGGAAAGACAGUGUGCCUGAUUCACCUGAAAACCCUGAACAGAUUGAUGCUGACUCUGAGACAAAUGAAGUUGUUAGCUGGUUUGUUGCACAGCAAGAGGAGGAAGAAAAUGAAGAGGUUGUAGAGGAAAUUCCAAGGCAAUCACCAUCUGAAGUUCAAAGAAUCAAUCCUGAAGGUGUUAGUGUCCUAGUGGUGGAACGAGAUCCAAGUUUACAUCAACAAAUUUGGGAUUAUCCUCCUCAUGAACAAGACCAAGUUGUCAGAGCGUACCUGAAGCAUGGUCCAUACCAAUUUCUUAAGAAUGAGUAGCCUUCUUCCGGUUCGAAGAAACACCCAUACAGAUUUUAGGCUCAUUGGUUCAAAUCUUUCCCUUGGUUAGAGUACUCACCUACAAAAGAUGCAGCCUUUUGCUUUCCAUGCUUUCUGUUUUCUAAAAAGCCAAUAAGAAAAGUAGGAUCAGACACUUUCACAAUGAAAGGGUUUACAAGCUGGAAAAAAGUCAAUAAUGGAAAAGAAUGUGCCUUCUUGGCUCACAUGAGAAAGGACUGUGGUUCAGCUCAUAAAUACAAUGUUCAAUGUUACGAGAAUUUGAAGAAUCAGCCAUGUCAUAUUGAGCAAGCCGUUGAGAAGCAAACCAAUGAAGAUAUCAAGAAUAAUAGACUCCGUCUUAGAACAUCAAUUGAUGCAAUCCGAUGGUUAGCUUUCCAGGCUUGUCCCUUCAGAGGGCAUGAUGAAUCUGCUGACUCGAAGAACUAAGGUAACUUUCUUGAAAUGGUAAAACUUCUAGCUUCAUAUGAUGAUGAGAUCAAAGCAGUGGUUCUAGGUAAUGCCCCCAUAGAAUGCUAAAUACACUUCAGCACAAAUUCAGAAAGAAAUCUUGGAUCUUAUGGCUUGUAAUGUGCAGAAAUCAAUUCGUAAUGAAAUAGGAGAUGCUAAGUUUUGCUUGGUUGUUGAUGAAUAUGGAGAUGAGUCAAGAAAAGAACAAAUGACAGUUGUUGUUCAUUUUGUAGAUAAAGAAGGCUUUAUUCGAGAACGGUUUCUUGACCUUAUUCAUGUUCAUGAUACAUGCUCUGCAACUCUUAAACAAGAAUUGUGCUCUGUUUUAGCUUACCAUAAAUUGGAUGUUCAAAAUAUUCGUGGACAAGGAUAUGAUGGUGCUAGUAACAUGUGAGGAGAGUGGAAUGGACUGCAAGCAAAGUUUAUGGAAGAGUGCCCUUAUGCAUAUUAUGUUCAUUACUUUGCUCAUCAAUUACAGUUAGCUCCUGUUGCUGCAUCCAAAGAAGUAACUGAUGUUCAUAAUUUUUUUUGAACAUCUAGUUUUUAUUGUCAAUACUGUUUUGUCUUCCAGCAAGAGAAACGAUGACCUGCAUGACAAUCAAGUUGCUGAAAUGGAGUGUCUAAUUGAGCUUAAUGAGCUUGAAACAGGAAGUGGUGCUAACCAAAUUGGAACCUUGCAUCGUCCUGGUGAUACUAGGUGGAGCUCGCACUAUGAUUCAGUUUGCAAUCUUUUGAAACUAUACAAGCCUACAUACCUGGUACUGAAAGAUAUUGCUACCGCUAAAGGUUCAGGAACUACAACUUCUAAACGAGCAAAGGUUGUUGGUGCUAUUACAUUAAUGAUGUCAUUUGACUUUUUUUUUAUUUUGCAUGUUGUGAAAGAACUCAUGGGUAUCACAGACCUACUUUGCAAAAAGUUACAACAAAAAUCUUAGGAUAUUGUCGAUGCUAUGGAUGAUGUUGCCACUACCAAAAAGUUGCUCUAGAAUUUAAGAGAUAAUGGUUGGAGUGGCAUUCUUAGUGAUGUGACAUCAUUUUGCAAUAAACAAGGAAUACAAGUUCCAAAUAUGAAUGGCUUCUAUGCAGACUAUACUCGAUCUCAUGCAACGGAUGAGCUAACAGUUGAGCAUCACUACAGAUAUGACAUUUUCAUGGUUGUUGUUGAUCAACAAAUACAUGAGUUGAAUUCUAGGUUUAGUGAAAAAGCUACGGAGAUUGUUGUUCUGUGUUCGUCUCUGGAUCCUAGGGAUUCAUUCAGAUCGUUUAAAAUUAAUGAUAUUUGCUUGCUGGCUUCAAAGUUCUAUCAUGCUGAUUUUACUGAACAGGAAAGAAAUAACUUGAAACAACAAUUACAACAUUUCGAACUCAAUGUGCCCACAAAUCCAAAAUUUUAGAAUUUGUCAACUAUUUCUGAGCUAUGUCGUGGGCUAACGGAAACUGGAAAAUCGGAUGACUAUCAUUUGAUCGACAGGUUAUAUAACAUGAUGCUUCCAUUUUACUUAUUCUCUUACUAUUAUUACUUUUUUAUCUAAAUAGUACUAAAUAUUUUCCUUUACAGGUUGAUUCGUCUUAUUCUAACCCUACCAGUUGAAAUUUACAGGUUGAUUCGUCUUGUUCUAACCCUACCCGUUUCAACUGCAACUACAGAGCGUGCAUUAUUGGCAAUAAAACUUGUUAAUACAAGGCUUCGAAAUAAAAUGGGUGAUGAAUUUAUAAGAAAUUGCUUGAUAAUCUACAUUGAGAAGGAGAUUGCAAUGGAGUUCACAACUGACACACUUAUUGAUGACUUCAAUGAUAUAAAGACCUGUAGAGUAAGAUUAAAAUGAAAAAGGUAAUUAGAUCUGCAUGUUUGGUUGAAUCAUUAGUUAGUCAGAGACUUCAAUGAUAUUGCUCUUCUGUAUUGGAAUCAUUAAUUUUUAUAUAUUUCUCAACAUUUUAGUCGUAACAAUCUAUCGGUCAUGUUUGACCGGCCCCCCUAUGUUGAAUUUCUGGCUACGCCACGGCAGGUGCCAUUAAUGAAGCGGUACUGCACAGGAUUGUGUUCUGUUGGAUUUGUCACCCAUAGGGUAGGCAGUGCUUUAGAGGCGACACCCAAGCCAUACCUUCCCGGUAACGCGAUGCAAUCGGAGGCCGUACCUUCUCACACGGCACCAUCAGCCGAAGGAUGCCGGCGGAUCGGUGAUGCCGCGUACAUCGGAGCUGGUGAAUCAUCACGCGCUUCCGGCCAUUGCAGCUGGAGCCGGCAAAUCUUCUCUGGAUCGGAAGAGUAAAAUAUGGUUCUAGGGUUUGAUAUUGGACCGGACAUUGCGCUCAAAUUGGAUGGGACGUCCGGCGGCGAAUGGUCGGGAGGUGACGAGAGGGGAGAACGAUAAGCCAAAUGAGAGGCCAUCAGAAGGAGGAGGGCUUAUUUGUAACUUCGAGAUCCUUUUGCAAAUAAUCAGAUCGCGAUUAAUAACCGUGAUCCAAAUAAGGGGUAUUUUGUUAAAUAUCGGAUCGCGAUCCAAUUUAGGAUUGUUUUGCAAAAACAGAAGCCGCGCCCGCCGCCAUCUCUCAUCGGAAGGAACCCAGUACCGGCACCAGAAGUGAGCCCUCAGCGUGCCGCCUCCUCCGGCACAGCGUGAUCUGUGGCCGAGCCACCGUCGCCGCGUCCCCGGUGCUGCUCUGGUCAGUGGUCACCAUGGCCGCCCUCCAGGCCAGCAACCGGUGGCUGACCAGGGAGCUCGACACCUGCUUCCUGCGCAACAGUUUCAUACAUGGCCCAGUUUCAGAUACUUCAUUCCAUGUAGAAGAUUACUGCCGUUGUCGUGCGCGUAGGAAGGCUGGAGGGCCGCGCUCGCCUCGCCGCAAGAACGCCAGUCGCCGUCCGGUGAUAAAUUGCCGUGAAAUUUCAGCACUUUGUUGGGGGUGACGGAGGCUGCAUUCACGGUUACGGGUUUGCAAAAAGGAGUGGUGCACUGGUGCUGGCCGUUGAUCACCACCAGGUUCAGCCUCUUUGAUGUCCUCCCUGAACUGUGGCACCACAGGUCCCUGAAGCCCUGAAGGAGAAGGAUCCCUUCCGUGUGUCCAAGAGUUUAGCUGAUUGAUCAGUGAAACCAAAAGAGUUUCUCAUGUGUUUAUGCCAAGUUUUAAGCACAAGCACAUGUUAAAUGACAGAUUCUGACAAUGGCAGACGGCGUUGGAAAUGUUGGACGAAGAUGAUGCAUCAGGAACCCUGAACCUCGCGUGAAUGCUCUCGGUGUUCAGUUGUCUUGUGUUACUCUGUUGGAUGGAAGACGUCUCAGGAAUUGCAAUUUGUGUCCCGUGUGCGCUCAACUGAAUCUCUGCGGCGCUUGCAUGAGUCACUGAAUAUUCACGUUCAAUCUGAAUAUAAUCAUAAAUGCUCACCAACCAAGGCAUCAAUUUGAGAAUUUAGGCCGAACCCUUGGAUAGAUCUACCAUUGGAACAUUUCAGGUUCAGGAUUCAAAAGUGAUGCAAGGGCCAGCUGCCAAAUGGAAUAUAUCUCCAAGCUGCUAACGUUUUAACCUUUUCCUGUUUUAACUGGUAAUUGAGUGUAAUGCUGAAUGAAAGCUUUUGUGUGAACAAACUAGGAGUUGAUGUCUUGGUAAAUGUUCAGAUUAAGAAAUUGCUGAAUGUUCAGGGUUAGGUAUUCGAUCUGUUGAGACUGCAAUAAGCACAGCAGGGUUUACAUUGCUUGUUUGUCGACCGUAAAAUUACAAGAUGGUGUACUCAAGUCUGUUGAACUGUUGAAGAUUUUUUUCCUAGGAAAUGAAAUAGUUUCCAGCCUCUGCAACCACACCCAACCAAGUUUUUACAUAAUUAUCAGUUUUCAAGCUGAUCACAAAUAAGAAAGUAAAAUAGUAGGCAAACGAUAGGAAUAAAUUAAAAGCAAAGUCUAUUAUUGCUCAUCCAUCCAUUAUUAGCAAAGAUAUAAGGUCACCACUUCCAACGCUUUGCUUGCUAAAUGGACGGUCUCCCUUGUAUCCUCACGAUGCAACAGAGACCAGUAUUGUAGCCAAUACACUCCCCUGAAAACAGCCUGCAUAAAAGAGAAAAAAUAUUUUUUUUUCAAAGACCAAAUCAUUACAUGUACACCAAAUUGCCCACAUAACAGCAGCUACCCCAACAAAAAUCAAUCUUUUAUUUUUUUAGUUAUGUCUAUUAACCAAUUUUCAAGCAUAUGAGAUAUUGAUUUUGGUCGAGUUAACCUAGUAGCUAUAUUAACAACUCUCCAAAUGAUUUUGGCAUGAUGAUAAUCAAAGAAGAGAUGUUUAAUUAUUUUAUUUUGCUCAUAGAAGCACAUUUUUUACUCCCAGAUCAGUUCCUCUUAGCUAAGUUAUCCUUUGUUAAAAUAACUCAAGUAAUGUACAUCAAGUCAUGCCUCGCGUGAAUAACUCAGGUGAACUUGUUUUAUGAACUAGCACGUGGUGCUCAGUUCAGUCAGUUACUCGGAUCAUAUCGACAUGCUUUUUCUAACUGAAGUUCCAGUAGUGUACUAGGCUACCUUCAUAUUUAAGGCCCUGGGAUCCGAACUCGCCGGCGUACGCCGCGAAGAAGCAUUCCUGUACGGCUGUACCAUCGAUUCUUAUCGUCCGUUCACGCCUGCCAAUUUCAAUCCCCUAAAUUGAAGUUCCAAUUUCAGCAAUUAGCAGCCAAAUAUACAACACAAACGUUUCGCACACCUGACGAUUCUCGAUCGGCAUUUUACAAGGUAUUCAUUUAUGGUUGCAAGGUGCAGAGUUUUUUGUGCCAACACUGUACCUCUGUUCGUACUACGUGGAAGCUGGAGUUUAUGUACACGGAGACGCGCUUCCAGUGGAGGAUGCGUCCGGAGACGUUUCAGCCACCAAACAGUGUGUUCCUCUCACAACAAAUUAGUCGUUUCAGCUCUUCAGCUGAAGCAGACCCCGAACAGACCCGAAUACGUUACCUGAAUGUUGCUGCAUGAGCAAAACUGCUUCAGCCCAUGGCCAUGGAUGCCAUGCCAUGGACGGACCCUGGCCAACUUCAGAGCCGGCGCCCGUCCGGACGAGCACCUCAAGAUUCCUCUCGCCUUCUUCGUCCUGACAGUCUCCCAGGCGGCGCGUUUCGGGCCGAUACGUGCGGCGGUAGCUCAGGCCUGGGAUAUGCAGGUUGCGAGCUCAGGCCUGGAAUGACAUAGCUGGAGGACAUCCUAGCCGGUCCAGGGUGGUAGCAAAGGCUACACGGUGUACCUCAUGAAGCGCCAGCAUGACAGUGAUGGCUCCAGCACCGAAGGAAACAGAAGUAGAGACGAGAUCUGCAAGCCUUCUGAUCUUGUAUGGCGCGGGGCAAUUACAAACUACCUGCGGGAGGAGGGUCGCCAGUGGUGGGAGCUCAGCGAUGUCGCCGGUGAAAGGGUGGAGGAGGCGGACGGCGCUGUCCUCCUCCCGUAGCAGGAGGAGGAGGCCGUCGACCGAAUCGACGGCGCAGUGGUCACUGAAGUGCGGGAGGUGGGCGCGGACCAAGGUCCCCGUGUCGAGGUUGAGGAAGCGGAUGUACCCGCGAAGAUCGGGGUGGCCGGGGCGAAGGCCGUGGCCCUCGGGAAGCAUCAUCCAGCGGCGCGGGUGGAAGCGCGGGUCGAUGACGCCGCGGCCGCGAGGCGAGGCGGCGCCGGACCGCCAGCCGGUGCAGACGGCCCGGAAGCGGACGUAGUCCAGCAGGUCGCCGUCCAGCACCCGCGACGCGACGAGGCGGACCAGAUCUCCAGGCAGCGACGCCCAGCGGUCGGCGACGGGGGUGGCGGUGGCCCCCGGUGCCGGUGGUGGCAUUGUGAUCCCAGCACGGCAGCACCUCAAUCCGGUUGGCAACGCCACGCCGCGCCGCACGCGCGCGCCUCGAGGACGCGCGGCGACGAGAGGCGGCGCUCUGGUGGUGCCGGCGGGGGAUGGCCAAAUCGGGCCUGCCGUGCCACCGGGCCAGCACGGUGCCGUGCCUGGGCCGGCAGUUCGGCACGAUGGUCCGGCACGAAAAAACCAUCGGGCCUGAUAGUGCCGGGCCGGACCAAAUCGGGUUAGUGCCGGGGCGGUCCAUUUGGCCAUGGGGCAAGCAGGCGGGAUGGGGAAUUGGCGUGAGUCGGUGGGAACGGACGGCCGCGCAACUGAGGAGUGGCGCGUUGCGUGGAACCGGCCGUCACCGUUUGGCCCAUUCCUGCGCCGAACAAGAUUAUCAACAGGCUUGCUCAAGGCCAGAUUCUGACGGCGUUGGAAAUGCUGGACCCUUGGACGAAGAUCACUCUUAACCCUCGCCUGAAUGCGUAAGCGGCGCCAUGCCAUUGCACUCGCGUUAGUCUGUUGGAUGGAGGAAGCCUCAGGGAAUGCAAUUUUGUGUGCCGUGUGCGCUCAACUGAAUCUCUGCGGGUGCUUGCAUGAGUAACUGAACAUUCAAACUCAAUCUGUAUACAUUCAGAAAGGCUCAACAACCAGCACAUCAAGCUGACAAUUUAGGACAACUCCUCGGAUAGAACUAUCAUUGGAACAUUUCAGACAUUUUCAGGUUCAUGAAUCAGAAGUGAUGCAACGGCCAGCUGCCGAACGGAAUAUAUCUCCAAGCUGCUAAUAUUUUAAAAUUUUUCCUGUUUUAUAACUUAGUAAAUUGAGUGUUACGCUGAAGGCGGCUUUUGUGUGGACGACAGUCUAGUUCAAGGUGCUUUGCCACAAGGCCACAAGGGGAGUUGAUGUCUUGGUGAAUGUUCAGAUUAAGAACUUGCUGGAUGUUCAGGGUUAAGUGUUCGAUCAGUUGAGACUGCAAUAAGCACAGCAGGUUUUGCAUUGCCUGUUUGUCGACCGCAAAAUUACAAGAUGGUGCACUUCAAGUCUGUUGAACUGUUAAAGAUGAUGCACUUCAAGUCAUGUACCUCGCGUGAAUAAACUUAGGUGAACUGUUUGAUGUACUAGCACACGGUGCUCAGUUCAGUCAGUUACUCAUCGGUUCAUAUCGACAUGCUUCUCACUCACUGAAGUUGUUCCAGUAGUGUGCUUGGUUACCUUAAUGAGUUUUUCUCCUUACGGUUGGCAAGAUUUUUAAAAACUUUGUCAGAUUUCGUUGUAAUAUGACAGUGGACAGUGGUUUGCUAAAAUUCGUAAUCUGUAUCGGACCGAUUUAUAACUGGUUAUAUGCCAUGUGUUAUUUUUUUUUGAGAAACUGAGAAUUAUUUUUUUCCUGCUCGCCUGUGAAAUAGCUUUGCAUGAUCUCACAAGUAUUCCUGAUACUGUGAUACAUGCAAUAUUUGUGAGAUCACAGCUAAUAAAGCAUGAUCAUUCAUCCAUUCAUUCAGGUUAUCUGUCAGACACUCAGACUGUCACUAUCUGCUAUCCAUUGGAAAUUGCUUGUACACCAAGCACGUACGACGAAAGAAUACGUUUUAUGCGUUGCACGCCAAAUAAAGCGAAGUCUUCAGUCAGUUAAGUGGCGCACGCGAGACGCUGCCCAAAUGUCUGGCACCCAAGAAAGGAAUAAAGAAAAGGCUCCCCCAGGAUCAUCUCAUCCAGCGUGAGCGCUCGAGAUCAAAGCAAAUGAAAAGUUAAGAGCUUCACAGACUUAACAGCAUCCGUUGAGAAAUAAUCUCAAACACAAUGUUUCCAAAUCAAUUUCAAAAAAAAUGAUGAUCUCUAUUUUUGAAAUCAAAAUUCGGCGCACGUUACCAUGUUCGAAAUCCCAUCAACCGAGACGUGCCGGCCCUCGUCCCAUUCCCGUUGGCUUUCUGGGCCUACAACUGGAGGCAUCUGGGCCGUUGGCUUGCCCGUUUUUAAUCCUCCCUCGGAACACUCUAGAACCCCACCCGAUUCCAUUUAAACCCCAAGUCUCUCUCCCCUGGCGUAUCCUCCUCAUCAUUCCCCCCUCGUGCUCCCUCUCGAACCUUCCAAAGCGCCCGAACCCUAGCGGGAGCUCGGAACCCUAGCCGCGCGCGGAUCUCGGCUCGCCCCCCUCGCCCCCCCCCCCCCCCUCCUCCGCGCCAUGGACGAGGACUUCGAGAUGCCCCCGGCCGGCGCCGAGGGGAUGAUGGGCGACGACGAGAUGGACGACUUCGGCGGCGACGAGGGACCGGUGAUGAAGGUGGGCGAGGAGAAGGAGGUCGGGAAGCAGGGGCUCAAGAAGAAGCUGCUCAAGGAGGGCGAGGGAUGGGAGACGCCCGAGGUCGGCGACGAGGUCGAAGGUAUCCGCGCUUAUCGCACCUCAGCUCCUCGCUCUCGAGCCAGUGGGAUGUACUCCGAUUUUUGUUCGUGUGAUGGUUCAUGGCCUAUUUUGGAGACUUGGCUAAUUGGAUUGGCAAUUGGGGCGCGGAAUUAGUGGUAGAGUGAGGUUUAGUCCGUCUCCCAUGAUUUUGAUGCUGCCAUGCGUUAAGCUAGAAUCGAUUUGCAGGACUUUAGCUGCUCUAUGCUUCUGAUGUGCGCAAGGCUAAAAGCGGAGCAGGGUGUUGGCUACUGUUUCUAGGCAUAAGACUUGUAUGCCGUUGAAUGAUUCAUGUGUCACAGUACGGCAUAGGGGGUGUUUGGGGCAAUGUGUUGCUAGUUGCUGAUGUUGGAUGAUUUAUGGAUCAUGUUUCAUCCUGUUGCUGAAGUGAUGAAAAUGGGUAGCGUGCUGAUGUGCUCUUGUUGGUGUUUCAGUGCAUUACACGGGUACACUCCUUGAUGGAACAAAGUUUGACUCGAGCCGUGAUCGUGGAGACCCCUUCAAGUUCAAGCUGGGACAAGGUACAUUUCUUCCUCCCAAUGUGCUUGAGAUUUCUGAGUCUCAUGUUUAUAAUUUGGAUAUGGAUUAUGAAAAUUUCAUUAACAAUGUAGUUGUGAGAAUUAUACAUACUGAUGCUUAAGAAGUAUCGUUAUUGAUUCUGAUCACUUCAAUGUCAUGUAGUUUCCCCCUCAAUAAUUCCCUAACAUGUAUUAGGAAAUGAGUCUUUAAGUGUGGCAUGAUACUAGUUUUUAUGCUGGCAGAGUGCCUGAUUACUGGCUUUACCCCCAAAUCAUCUUAUUGCUGUGUGUGUAAGUUUAUCAUGCUGUCAAUGCUUAAUCCCCCUAGAUACAUAUUAGCUGCAAGUGGUGCUUGCCUCGAUAUAAGGGGCCCAAAAUGUUUGAAAAAACAUGCUGAUGAUCAAGUAAAUUGUAGCUUGAAGGAUGUACUUAUUUUCUCCUUCCUGAUUGUUGACAUUGCCAAGUUGGGAAAUAGAUGCUCAGUGGCUAUUUUGUCAAAUUAUGUCCAGGUCAAGUAAUAAAGGGUUGGGACCAAGGCAUCAAGACCAUGAAGAAAGGGGAGAAUGCUAUUUUUACCAUUCCUCCGGAACUGGCUUAUGGAGAAUCUGGUUCACCUCCAAAGAUUCCACCCAAUGCAACCUUGCAAUUUGAUGUUGAACUGCUUUCAUGGACUAGUGUCAGAGAUAUUUGCAAAGAUGGUGGCAUAUUCAAGAAGAUUCUUAAGGAGGGAGAGAAAUGGGAGAACCCAAAGGAUCCUGAUGAAGUACUUGGUAAUUUUGCUUAUUGAAACAUUUUUUACGUGGGAGUUCCAUUUUUUGUUCGUAUAGCUUACACUCUUUCUUCCUGUAGUGAAAUAUGAGGCCCGUCUUGAAGAUGGUACUGUUGUAUCCAAGUCUGAGGGAGUUGAGUUUACUGUUAAAGAUGGUAACCCUCUUCUCUUGAAUCCUAUUUUUAUAUGUUUGUUGAAGAUGUUUAGAUCUAUAUGUUGUUUGCUAACAAGUGUAUUGCCAGGGUACUUCUGUCCUGCACUGGCCAAAGCUGUCAAAACCAUGAAAAAGGCAGAGAAGGUGCUCCUUACAGUAAAACCACAAUGUGAGCUCCUGUUUCAAAAUUGAAACCCUCUUCUACAAGUUUCAUGCUAGUUCUGCUAAAUUAUGACAAUUAUUUGAACCUUCCAACAUAACAAAUGCAGAUGGAUUCGGUGAGAAGGGUAGACCAGCAGCUGGCGAGGAAGGUGCUGUGCCACCAAACGCCACUCUUCUCGUUGACCUUGAGUUGGUUUCAUGGAAGACUGUCACAGAAAUAGGGGAUGAUAAGAAAAUCCUUAAGAAAGUUCUCAAGGAGGGAGAAGGUUAUGAGCGUCCCAAUGAGAGCGCAGUUGUUAAAGGUAUGCUCAAGUUCGAUCAUGGUAGUAGCUGUUGUUUUGCAACUCCAUUCAGUUGAUUAGUUUGUCUCGUGUUUCCUAAUUAUGUUUACUGCUCGACAGUCAAAAUUACGGGAAAGCUUCUGGAUGGCACAGUGUUUACAAAGAAGGGGCAUGAUGAAGAACCCUUUGAGUUCAAGACUGAUGAAGGUUAGAAUAGCCUCCGCCUUUCAGUUAACAUAGAUCAGGCAGUCACAUUAAUCCGGUUUCCUUUAUAACAACAUUUGUUGUUUGUAAUCUACUUUCAGAGGAAGUUAUUGAUGGUCUUGAUCGUGCUGUACUGAACAUGAAGAAGGGCGAGGUUGCUCUUGUGACAAUUCCUCCUGAAUAUGCAUUUGGUUCAACUGAGUCAAAGCAGGACCUUGCUGUAGUUCCUCCUAACAGCACAGUGGUCUAUGAAGUUGAGCUUGUUUCAUUUGUGAAGGUACUCACAUGAUUGUGAUAUUCUUGUGUACCUGUGGUGAUUCUGAUUUAGUAUUCUGCAUGUAUUUGCAAAAUUGAUUGAUUUUACCUCCUUACCCCCAGGAUAAGGAGUCAUGGGACUUGAACAAUGAAGAGAAGAUAGAGGCUGCUGGCAAGAAGAAAGAAGAAGGGAACACACUGUUCAAGUUGGGAAAAUAUGCUAGAGCUUCAAAGCGUUAUGAGAAGGUGCAUAAUUUGGCGUUCUGUUUUAUACUGAAAAUACCAUUCUCCAACUUGUGAGUUCUGUAUGGUUAUCUACUUUGCCUGAUUGAUUGACUUAGUCUGGGAUGUAUUGUUCUGUUCUCAGGCUGCAAAGUACAUCGAGUAUGACAGUUCAUUCAGUGAGGAUGAGAAGAAGCAAUCCAAGCAACUGAAGAUCAGCUGCAACUUGAACAAUGCUGCGUGCAAACUAAAGCUGAAGGACUACAAGCAGGCUGAGAAGCUAUGCACCAAGGUACCUAUCAGCUCGGCCUGCAUUGCCCAUUUAGUGUUUGUAUCCUGCAGUGAACCAAAGCUGAUCAUGUAAUUUCUUUCCAGGUGCUGGAACUAGACAGCCAAAAUGUCAAGGCUCUGUACAGAAGGGUCCAAGCCUACAUUCAACUUGCUGACCUAGAGCUAGCAGAGGCUGAUAUCAAGAAGGGGCUAGAAAUCGAUCCUGACAACAGGUAUGGUUUUCAAAAACAUUGAUCCUACGGAGUGUUCUGGUUUACUGAACAGUACCAGAUCUAACACUGAAUGUUGCUGCUAAUCUCAGGGAUUUUAAGUUGGAAUACAAGACCCUGAAGGAGAAGAUCAAGGAGUACAACAAGAAGGAUGCCAAAUUCUACAGCAACAUGUUCGCUAAGAUGACAAAGUAACUAGCUGAAGACAAGAGUGAGUAUCUAUCUCCACUACAUUCUGCUUCAGAUUUGCUUCUGAUAGAUUGUGCCUAAUCGAUUGAUUCGUCGUUAAUAGCAGAAAGCCUUUGGGGUGGGGGGAUGUACUGAAGCAGAGGAUCGAAGCCUGACGCCCCUGCCUGCUGCCCAAGGACUUCGCACGUCUUUUGACAUUUCGCAUUCUGGCCUACUGUGUUAUCUAGUAGUGCGCACGGAUGAUUUGAUCUGUUAGGACAGCGAUGAGGAACAUUUAUUUCGAGGACUACUAUUGGCUCUGAACUUUCUGUUUCCUGGUUCUUGUUGGGAUCACCGAGUGUUAAAAGUCUUGAAAGAAGUUGAUACUCACUAACCUGAUCUCGUCAGACCGCGCGCUCCUCUCCUAGAAAUCUGCUACAAACCGACCGAAUGAAAAAAAAGCACCGCCUAACAAUUCGUUCUUUUUGUACAACCCUCGAUUAACUGAGCGGUCACGAUAGUGGUAAAUGAGUUGCAUGUGCAGCAGAACAACCGCGCUGUUUUGGCAGAAAACGCGAGUCUAAACGCCCCCGGAACGGCACGAUAUUUGCAGGUUAAACUUGAAAUACUAUUCUGCCAUUCUGGACAUGUCUAGUUAAUUUACACCAACAUAUAACAUACAAACGGCAAACCGAGUUCGCAAUCCAAGUAGCAAGAUCCAAACAUGUCUUGCAGCGAAGGUCCUGAGAUGACUAUUCAAUCGAGUUAUCACCAGCGUAUGGACAAGUCCCUAGCUGAUGAUUCAGCAAACAAAUGGAGCACAACUAUUGUACAGACGAGCAGCAAAUAAACGGCACCCACUGCUGUUUCCUUCCCUUGGGCUUCUUCUCGACAGGCAACCUGGCAGGAGAGUUCCAGUCUUGCUGUCCCGAACCGACCUUGGGCGAACCAGGCUUCACCGGUGACGCAUUGUCUUUCGACGUCCGCCGCCUGAACGACAGUACCCGUUCCUUGGUGCUUGUCUUCUUCUCCUUAUCCUUGGUUUCCACGUUCUUGUCGGCGAGGAGGACCUUCAACGAGACAUGGUUCUUGUCUGAGUCCAUGACCAUUUCCUUGUCGGCAAUCUCUUCGUUCUGAUCAGCAGCUCUCUUGAGGUCAUCCGUGCUUUCAAUGGUGCUGAUCUCCUUUGAGGACAUAUCUUCAGUUUCUCCUAUUUCUUUGACGACAUUUGUGGUAGCAGGGCCUGUGGUGGCAAUGUCUCCCUUUUCCUUCUUGUUUUCUGCUUCUGCAUUGUCUGUGCCUGGAAGCCCGUUGCAUUCACCAGAACUAGGAUCUGCUGUAGUUUCUUCAUUCUGUUUCUUUCCUUCAACAUCACCUAUACUGCGUAUGGUGGCUGUAGUAGUAGUAGGAUCCAAAACAGGUUCUUCAUUCUUCCUUUCGUCAAUAUUAUCUAUGGUGUGCUCUGCACUUCUCUCAAGCAAAGUAGGGUCUGCAGUUGUUUCUUCGUCCUUCCUCUCUUCAACACUGUCAGUAGAUGUAACCAAACUAAACUUGCUAGAUGUAGCAUCUGCCAUAGUCUCUUCAAUCGUCUUUUCUUCAACAUCAUCUGUGCCACGCACCACGAUAUUCUCAUGACAACCAAGGCUCUCGGUCACUUCUUCCUUAUGCAUCUUUCCCUCAUUAGUACUGCUGCAUAUCAUGUUGAUACCAUCAGAAAUGGGGCCUGUAGUGAAUUCUUCAUUCUGCACUUUGUCUUCAACAUCAUCUGUGCUGGUUCCUGCAUUAAUCUCCCAGGUAGCAGCAUUGUUUUCUCCAGCAGUUUCCAUGCUGCGUGCACCAUCUAUCUCACCACUUGUUUUUACAUCAAUCUCACCCUGCUUUUCUUCAACUAUGUCUCUGCUACUUGUCACACUGGUCACUUCAGGAGCAAGAUUCGCAAUGAACUCUUCAAUCUGUUCCUUUUCUUCAGCACUAGACAUGCUUUGUACCACACUGGAAGCUGUGUUGGCUUCAUGAGGAAUGGGAUCUACAAUGACCUCUUUGUUCUCCUGCUUUUCUUCAAAGUUUUCUACGAUAUGUAGCUCAUUACCUCCAUAUGAAGUAAGGUCUGUACCAUCUUUCUCAUUCUGCCUAUUUUCAUCAACAUUAUUUGUCCUAGCGACCAUGUUGAUUUCAUGUGGCAUGGCGGGAGUACUCAACUCCACUAUGUCAACUUGAGAUGUCACAACAGUACCAGCAGUCACAUUUUGCUGCAUGCUGCCAUCCAUUGUCACACCAGAUGAACAGAUAUUCUCUGUAACGUUAGCUGUACCACCUACAGCAGGUCCAAAUGCACUGGAUAGUGCUGGGAUGCCUCCCACUGCAGAAUGCUCAUCAAAUUUCAGUUCAUGAACAAUGACUAUACCAUGCACAGAAUAACUAAAGGUAUUGAUUAAAAUGUUUUCAGGCCAAUGAUGUGUUCGUUGACUAGACGUACUUGUCAACUACAGAUUUUAAAUAAUGCACUGGUUGUCAAAUUGCACUUCAAACAGGUAAACAUAAUUAAACAUAAGGUAGACGACCAAAUGAUAUUUAUGAUCUUCAUAUACUUGACAUGAGCAAAGAAAAUGUCAGCUAAUCAUGUGUUACCCCUGAGCCCUUUUCAAAAUUGGCCAGACACUACCAAAAUGCAAGUGCAAUGGAGACUAUUUGAUAGCUACACUACCCAAAUUAGAGUGCACUGCUCAAUAAAUAUUUCUGCUUCUUACCAAACUUUUUAAAGAUAAUAGGGGCGGAGGGGGGGGGGGGCUUUAUUUUGACCUUAGAAUAAAAUAAAGGCAAUGUGAAAUACAGUACGCCAUAACAUCCAGAAAAUCUCACCAGAAAUAGGAUAGUGCUGUUCAUCAACAUUAUCUGCUCCUUCAGAGACUGCCAGAUGACCUUCUGUUUCAGAGGUAGAGUCGGGUUGUUGCUGAGGUUUGACAUCGGGUGUCUCCGAGUGGGAACCAACCGUACCAAGUUUAAGCAUGUCAUCCUCUGUACCAACAGAUUUCUCUGUAGAAGACUCAACGGGCACAUCAAUGUUAGCAAUGUUCUCAAAUGAGUCAGUUAUCAUAAGCUUGUUUUGCUGAUUUGAUUCAGCUUCAUCACUCGGGAUUUCUUUGUUGUGAAUUGCAUUGAGAUUCUUGUCAGAUGAUUCUUCCACCACUCCAGUGUUACUGUGCUCCUCACCAAUCUUAGUUUGCAGAUUUUCUUGACAGGAGAGAUCAAAGUCAUCACCAUCUAUAGAUUUGUCCUCACUAAAUUUAUUUUUGCCAAUGGUGUUGAUCGUAUCAUCUUCCUCAGUCACAGCAGUCCCAUCCACUUGGCUGGCUACAUCAUCCAUCUGUUCAGAAGUUCCACCUCCAGUUGCAUUUGAUUCCAAAGGCACAGCAGUUGAGUUCUGUGUUUCAUAUUCAGAGAGUGAGUUCUGUUUUCCAUGUUCAGAGAUUUCUGAAGUGCAUUUUGCACCAUCUUCAGGCUCUGACAAAAGAAUAGAAGUGGGAACGUCCUUCAGCUGCUCAGAACCAACUGCUGGAUCAGAUGGAUCCCCAUCCUCAAUAGGUGUUUCUUUUUCAGAGUACUGUGUAUCCACUGUAGUCAGGUUAUCAUCAUCCAUCUUGCUGGCCUCAGAAGUGAUUUCAGAAGGAAUAUUACUGCUACUGAUGAGGUGAUCUUCGGCGCUUUCAUCUCCGAUGACUUGAUGCCCAGUACCAUUUCCAGAAGAUUGCUCUACAAAAGACAGGCACAGGCAAUCAUGCAUUCAGACAGACAUAUGCGUAGACUCGAAAAAUGCAUCGUAAAACCAUUAACAAUGACCACAAUAUGCGUUGAAGAGAGUGUACAUAUAUAGCACAGUGAAAAUAAUUAAAUAGCUCCGGACUCUCUGCCAGUGAAGUAUGCUAGCAGCACAGCAUGGAGACAAGUUGGCGAGAUGGUGGUAUCCAAUGGCAACAUGUGGCCAGCCUCACUAAUUUAUUGAACAGGAAUACAGGAUUAUUAUACACAACCUGUGUUGCACAGUAUGGAAGUUCCAUAACCAGCUAAGCAGCUCCGAAACAUUACUAGCACAAGCAAUCUAUUAUCCUAACCCCAAAGAUGAAAACAAAAUGCUCACACUAUCCUAAGCAAAAGGAUAAGGACAUGCUUUUUUCCAGACUCUACACCAGUACAAUUUCACUGAACCAGAACGUUCUCGUCUAGUACAAAAAAGAGGAAAUCGGGAAAGGAAAAAAAAAAGGUAAUGCAAUAACUUUCCACCUACCAAAUCUUAACCAAGACAUAUUUCCCCUCGGAAACGAACAAAAAGAAACGAAGAACAAGAAGAUUCAGAGCGAACCUGCGCUGUCCCCUCCAUCCACUGCGCUCGCAGCCUCCGGCGCAGAUCCGGGCAAACCGCCGCCACAUUCCGCCGCGCUCGCUCCAAUCCCCUCCCCUACUCCACCAAUUACUCCACCUAGGACGCAGCCACAAGAGCACACGCAUCAGGCCAAGAGCUCGACUCGGACGCAGCGACAUACGGCAACGGGGGGCACGGAAUCCACGGUACCUGGAAGGGACUCGCCGCCCUCGUGCUCCCCGGCGCCCUCCGCCGCCGCGUCGGCGGCGGCGGCGGACGCGGGCUUGCCGCAGUGCUUGCGGUGCGCGCGCCGUUGCUUGGCGCUGGGGUGCCCGUUCGGGUACUGGUACCCGCAGGCGUGGCACAGGACCCCGUCCCCUCCGGCUGCCCCUCCUGCGACGCGAAACCACCCCGCCGUCACAUCUCACGAACAAGAUAAAAAAAAAAAAAGCCACACACACAAAAAAAGGAAAUAAAUCUUCGCAAUGCCGCCGGCGAAGCGGCAACGGGGGCUCACCGCCUCCGCUCUUGUGGCCGCUCUCCAUGGCGCUCGGCGGUAACGGCGUGGGGGGAGAGACGGGGACGGCGACGACUCGGACGAGUGGUAGGUUGCUCGCCCGCCCGCUCCGCUCUGCUCUCAAGUGAGUGGAGUGCGGGGAAGACGACUAGACGAGACGAAAGCAGAGGAGAAGCGCCCUCACGCCGAGGGAUAAUGACAACCGCGCUUAUCAUUAUGGCGGGGGCGUGGGGCCCACGCGACCCCUGGCCCACACGUCAUCGGCACGUUACGGUGGGCGCGUCGGAAUCCGACCGUGGGCAAGAGACAAGGGUCUCUCGCGGUCGGUCGCUCUCCUCUCGUGCGGUUGCGGUCCUCGCCUCGUCUCUCCUCGGGGGAAGAAGCAUCCGGGCCGUCGGCGGCGGGCAUCGACGGCGGAGGGCGGCGGCGGCGACAGCCCGUCGAGAUGCCGGCGGGGCCCCACGUGGCCGGCAAGGCGGGGAUCCUUUGCUCCGCCGGGUUGGUAACCCACCCGCGCGGCAGCUUUUUGGACCGGGCCGCUGGCCUGUUCACUUCAGCCCUUUUCACUUUUUUACCGCUUCGUUCCCGAUGCGGCACCUCCCAUGUUUUUUUGCAGCGUCGACCUGAGGCUGAGCUGACAACUCACGGUCACGGCACCGGCACGGCGGUGUCGAUCAGGGAGAGGAAGGGGCCAACAGGUGUGCCCGCCGGGUACAUGGCGGCAUGUGCCGAUUGGGGACGCCGGCAAGGACGAGCAAGUGUAUAGGCUGGAGUGGGGGCGAAGCACUACGGUACGGAGCGGUGAAUGGUCCCCGGCUCCGGCGGCCUCCGGGUGAUAUCCACAUUUCCUGGCGUGACGGUAACAAAGUUCUGGGGGCAAAUCACAUUUCGGUGGAAAUGGACCGUGGGGUUAAUUUGAUAAUUCGAGUAUGCUUGGAAAAAUGUUUUCGGAAAAAUAAGGCUUAAAAAUCAGUACUCGCAUCAAUUACUUAUUGGGGAAAUGUGCCUGCCAAAGGUGAGAAUUUUUGGUGCACUUGCUCUGUAGCUUUACUAAGGUUUCUCUACGACCUAGUGCCUCCAUUUUUAAAUAUGUGACUAAUUAGCUUACUUAAAUACUAUACAUUUAACAACGGGUGGAGCAGUUUAGAUAAAUUUUAUAUCUGUAAGAUGCUUUCUCAAACAAUAUUGCUGCUAGUUUAGGCUAGAUUUUAUUUGAUUCUUUUAAAGCUCUACUGCCAACUGUUGAUGUGUUUCUUUUAUGCUAAUUGUCAGGAUUGUUAUUUAUCAAAUAUCAUUGUAUGACACGCACGUCAUUUAGAAAUAAAGCAUGCAUGCAUUUGGCAUUAAGAAAAAGUCAUUGGAUGAGAUUGAUAUCCACACCAUCAUCACUGACUCUACAUUUUUAUAGAUAUCUGAAAUUUUUUAAAAUGAUCUCUAUAAAGUGCUUUCUUUUUUUUUUGACGGAAAACAGUAGGGAGGCCCCUACCUAUAUUGUGUGUGUGUUGUGUGCGUGUAUAUAUAUGAGCCUCAAAUGGGAAAAAGCGAGAAAUUACAAGAGACUACUCAACCAACUAUUAAUCCUCUCUUUGAGUGCUGGUUUUGCCUGUAGGGUGACCAGCCGAAUCUCCUCCACAAAACUGGCUCUCCAUGACGCAAAAGGAUAAGGAGCCUCUGUCAAAUACGAUGCUAUUCCGGUGGCACCAGAUACACCAGGCAGCCACUAUCACAAUUUCUCUGAAAUUGAACCAAAUCUUUCUCUGGAAUUAAUGACCGUGUCCAAAUCUUUCUCUAUAAAGUGCUUUCGUUAGUAGUUUGUACAAUUUACCGAUAACUUUUAGAAUAACAUUUUUAAUGGGUAUAAUAAUAACUUUGCAAUUGAUUAUAUGUGAAUAUUUUAGUGUUUAUGCCGGACUCGAUCCAUUUUAGGUUUCUUACUUGGUCACCGAGAUCUCAGGGGUGCAAGCUAGAUGAAAACCUCGGAGAAGAGACUCAAAAUCAAUACGGUAUGUACUCCUUCCGUCCAAAAAUAAAUAUUCGUUUAGCCUUCAAAUUUUAUCCCACAAACGAUGUUCAUUUAGCUCCUAGAGAGACUCAUCUAAUUAAAGCAACACUCACACCAAUAAAAAAAGUGUAUUGAGAAGUGCAUAGAGCCAAUAAAAUGAUCAAUUGAUGAUUUUUCUCUAGUUCCAAUGCACGUGCCUUUAUUCACGAUCAGAAAACCAAACAUAUUGCACAGCUUUCAACCACAACUAAUAUGAGUAAUUAGGAGCAGCAUGGUCACUUUUCACGUGUCCAAAAUUUUCUAAAACAACACUUAUUUUGGGACGGAGGAGGGAGUAGUUCAUAUAGCAAAGCUCUAAAUCAUUUAGAAGAACGACUGUCAAAAUUAUGCUUUACAAAUUCAAAGAGAAACUAGAAGGUGAGACAACAUCACAUUGAAGUGAGGCCAGGACUAACAAUGAUGCUGAUUAACUUUUGGUGAGUUUUACAUUAUUAUUUGGUAGAUCCACUGAAACGCUCGACAGAAGCUCGACCAGUUGCCAAACAUCCUCCUCAUCCAUCUUUGUCGUAGUAUCCUCUGGAUACUGUUGGUACUUGCUAGUGUAAAAACAUAAGACAAUUGAAUAGUUCAUUAUUUAUAAAGAAGUUUCUCCUUGCAAUGAUACAACGUGAGUUUCUCCAGAAUAGGAGAUUUCUGAAGAAGGUAUCUCAAUGUUUGGAAGUCAUCACUAAGAUCAGAGUUGUUCAGUGUUAAGGCCCUGAGGUUCGUGAACUGUGGCAACAUCGUGGAUUGCUGACCGAAAUAAAUCACUAUUUUUUUUCCUCGCAUUGUAAUCUUUCUAUCACUGGGCUCCUCAACUUGCAAGGAAAAAAUUGUAAACAAUGUCGCCUUCCUCUUGCUAAAAAAAUGCAUAAUACAGCUGAAAAACCUCCUCGGCACUGCCUUUCUUUUCUCCUCCUAAUCCUCUUCCUUCACUCCAUCGCUCAUGUAAAUAACAAUAAACGCUUGACUUAGAGGGUGUUUGGCUCUUUAGUCCGGACAAACAUUUAUGUUACAUCGAAUAUUCGGACGUUAAUUAGAAGGACUAAAUAUGACAUAAUUAUAAAACUAAUUACAUAGAUGGAGGCUAAUUCACGAGACGAAUCUAUUAAGCCUAAUUAAUCCAUCAUUAGCACAUGUUUACUGUAGCACCAUAUUGUCAAAUCAUGGACUAAUUAGACUUAAUAGAUUUGUCUCGCAAAUUAGUCUUCAUCUGUGCAAUUGGUUUUAUAAUUAGUCUAUAUUUAAUACUCCUAAUUAGUAUAUGUGAAAUUGGUUUUAUAAUUACUCUAUGUUUAAUACUCCUAAUUAGUAUCCAUAUUCGAUGUGAUAGGAAUUUUUGGAGGUCCUAAAGAACUAAACACCCCUUAGUUGCUACUUGGCCUAGGGAGCCACUGCCAACCUCCAUGGUCUGCCUAGCUGGGCCGGCACCAAGGGGUGGCUCCUCUGCUCCCACGGUUCGUUCCUCCUUUGGUUAUGGAAGGUGCACAUUGCGCACAGCAGCUGAUGCCUGAUAGAGCCUACGCAACCGUGGGACAAGCAGUACUGCAACAACGUGUAUGCGAAACUCUUCAUUGCUUCUUGGGACGAAUGGUGCAUUUAGUUGGAGAAAAUUAUUCGAGACUUGGGAUGAAGGGUGCAUUUAGUUGGAGAAAAUUAUUCAAUAAGGGAAUGGAGUAUAGAGUUAGAGGAUUUAGAUUAUCUAUGAUUGGCAGUUCACAUCAUAUAUGUAGCCAAGCAAUAAUAAUCCCUGAAGCACAAGGCUACGCAACACAUGGCUGCACUUUACAAGAACGAAGAAUUCAUGCCUACAACAAAACAUGGCGAUGGAUAACUCAAGCUGAGCUAAUCAGAAUCAACAACGCAUUGCAGACAGCAUUUCGCUCAAGAGAUCAAUAAUUUACGUUCUUCCCUUAUUCUGGAUUCUAGGCUACAUUAUUCCAUCAAGGCACCACAACACCAUGAACCACACCCUUAACUAAUCUUGAGAAGGUCAAAUAGAUUUGUUGCCUUAUAUCUACGGAAGACAAUGCGUCCGAAAAUAGUUGACAGGUAGAAACUUCAACAUAGGCCGCCUAGAGUCAGGCUGAUAGGUUCUUCACUUCUUCAUAAUUGGGUGAACGUUAUAGUAUUCUUUGGUGCAUACAUGUCCAGCAAAAACCUGACCAGUUCUCGAAUAUUGGCAUCAUCUUCGCCGCACAUGAUUUCAGUAGAACUUAGCUUCGGACAUUUGAAACGCACCAUGUUACUAACUCGAGAAUAUAUCUUCUUUGACCUGGCCUUUCCUUCCCCUCACGUGGAAACAUCCGAGAGCUGUUUCCAUUGUAAAGGAUUUGCAUAAGUAACGGAGGAAGAUACAUUGUACAAGAGUUCCAUUAGCUAAGACACAAACAAAUGAAGUACCUUGCAAAGGUUCCAAAUUAGGAGAGUUCCGCAAACAGUACUGCAGUAUCCCAAAAUUAUCAUGUAAAUCGCACUUAUUAAGGAAUAAGGUUCUCAGGUUUUCGAGCUUAGGAUAUUCCACCGGUUCAACAACUUGUGAGACCUGAAAUCAAGACACAGCCUGUUAAACCAACCAACUGCACUGCACAGAUAAUUACUAACAUACGGGUUUCAUAUUAUUGCAUUCAUGCGAAAUAAUGUCACUAGCACGUUAAAGAUAGCACCUCAUUUUUGGUAUUAAUAUUGCUUAACACAAAAAUCUUUUUUUUUCUUUCAAACAAUGUAGGGGGCAGGUGCAGUGCUUCUUUAUAUAAGAAGGGGACAGAGUUCAGAGAGACUGAUGACAUCAUGAUGCGCUCCCGACAAAGGAAAUUGUAUUGCAUAGCAGAUUGUAGGCAAGAAAUAAACAAAACUAACAAAACAUUCAGAGGGUAAACUAAGAUAACUAUCUUGCAGAAUGCAGUAGGAAUUGAAUAAGAAUGAAAUCACAAAGAUAUGUAAACUGGCACCAGACAAUUUGAGGCUGAUUAGUAAGCAUGUUGAUGGUAUUUUUCCAACUUAGGCCAUGUUUGGACGGAGGAUAGUCCACUCAAAUCCAUAUGUAUUGGGAUGGAUUGACAACAAAAUUAGUUCAUUUUCCACUCCAAUCCACAUGUAUUGGGAGGGAAUGCCUUCUAUGCAAACAAGCCAUCAGGUGAUUUUUAAAUGAAAAUGAGCAAUUUGACCAGGAAACAUUUAGUUUUGGUCCAGUGAGAAAAAAAGGAGAACUUAUACACUCGGUAUUAUGUAUUAUCUGCAUGAUCGAAAUCUUAGCAGCAGGCACAAAUGAAGAACAUGGAAAAGUUUCUAUAAACAAGGGUUCCUUUCCUGAGCAAACAGAACAGGUGAAAAAUCUGAACACCACGCUCACACAUUCUAAGGGUGCGUUUGGCAGAGCUUCUGCUCCUGAUUCUCAGGAAGAACAGGGGAGCUCUACCAAACGGUGUCAGACAGGCAAACGGAUUCUAGCCUGAUUCUGAGAAGUGAUUCUCUGGAAUGAACUAGGAGCUGGGAGCUGAAAAAAGUAGCUUCUUCUGAUUCUGAGAAGUGAUUCUCUGUCAUGGAAAAAGUAGUUUAUCAGAGAAUUAUUAGAGAAUCACUUUCAGCCACAGAAUCACUUCUCAUAGAGAAUCACCUCCAGAGAAGCUCUACCAAACAGGCACUAAAAUUUCCAUUUUCCUCUCAUCACCUGGCAAAAUUUUCAAAAUUUGAAUCUUCCCUAAUGUCGAUUCAAUUUCUUAUCCAAUUUUUUGUUAACUGUAACCAACAUGUUCAUUUGAUUACUUAUCAAGUCAUGCAAAAAUUCUACAGCAAUGCUGACCAGUAAGAACCAGUUCCCAUCGAGUUACAAAACCAUGGAUUAUAGGUGAUAUCUGUUACCUACGGCACAAGAAACAAAAUAACAAAUUAAUUCAUGUAAGCCAGCUUGUUUUGGCCUUUUGCUUCAUCCUGCUUGAACCUUCCAAGUACUUUCAGUAGUAACAAAAUCAUGUCAGACAUUCUUGCAGAUAGACAGGAGUCACAGAUUCAACCGAACCUACCCGGAAAUUUUUCAAAGUAAGCUUCUCUAGAUUAGGAGCUUUUUGCAGAAAUCUCAUAACAGCCUUGAAUUUGUGUAAAUCACAGUUGCUGGGGUUGUAAAAACACGAGUCAAGACACAAGGUUCUCAUGUUUCCAAAUAUUGAGACUUUAUCAAAUUCCUUAUCCAGCAUUGCCUGAAAUAGAGAUAAUGAAACUAAAUCAAAGUCAUGAUCGACUAUACUAGUUAGUUCAGUAACACAAAACCUCCACAUGACAUGGCACUUAACAAAAAUACAUAAGAGUAAAAACUAGCAUGGAAGGCAUAAAUACCAUCGUCUGAAAACCUUUCAACUCUAAGUUGGUCACACCGCAUAGGCUGCCAAUAAGCCUGGCUUCACUUCUUGGAGGGAAUUCACCAGGGCCAAUAGAGAUAAAUGCCCUCUCAAGGGAAUUCCGUACAUAUAACGAAACCCCAUUUUCAUAUCUGUGAUAAGGAUUGUCCAGGCGCAGGGAAGCAACACGAGGAGCCCUGAUAACAAAUACAUCUGCAGCUGCAGGUUCAUUUGUACAAUACUGAACAACCAAAUUCUUCAGCUUGUCGGAUUCAAUGCGAGAAAACCUAAUGCUACAUUGAUCGAGGACCAAAUCUUCGAGGUCUGGACACCAAGAACGGAGCCGCUCCGCGAAAGAAUCAUCCAAAGAGACACUGGUAAGCUCCAACCUUUUAAGGCCACAACCAGCAGGGAAGCUCAGAUGGGGUAACUGAUACCGAGAUGGAUCAGGAUCCUCAACGUCAUACAGAACCUAGAUCUCUAGCACCAGAGGGUCGUCCUUGACGGCACGACGGAUCCAUCUGUCGAUCUGCCGAAACGAAUCGGGGCCAACAAACAAUGCAACCAACCGGAACGCGUCCCGGCACCGCUCGUUGUGCAAGAUCAGCAGGUGGUUGGCGAAGUCCUCCAUCCUCUCCCAGGCCUCCGUCCAGCCCUCGUCCUCCGGAAAUCCCGCAUGUCGAGGUUGAUGCCGGGCGCCGAGCGCCACAGAUCCGUCCACCUCCUGGACAGCGCGGUGGUCUGCACGGCCUGCUGCGCCGGGAGGAGGGAGAGGACGCAGCGGAGGAGGUCGUUCGGCAGGGCGCUCAGGCGGUCGUGGAUCGAGCCGCCGGCCGCGCGGGCCCGAUUGGCGGCGGCGGCCAUCGCGGCAGCCUUGUUCAGAGCGGCGAAGCGAAGGGGGCGCGGCGCGGGCGGGAUCGAGCUUCACAGCACAGGCCUUCCCGUCCCGUGCCGGAUCAACCCUGCCGUUCGCCGAUCGCCCCGGAGAAGAAGCCAGAAAGGGAAGAAGCAGAACCGGCGGCCCGGGCGUGAUUCCCCUCGAACCUUCUUUGGGGGGCUGACGGUUUGAUUAGGCCCAAUGUUUUAUUCGGCCUGCUGGGGCCUGGGCUGGCGUAGUUUGAAAUAGCCUGGCGGGCCGGAGGUCAUUUGCUGAUUCUUGGGUUUGGUCGGCUGACAUUUGACUGGUGGGCUAGUGCCAUUAAAAUAUCAUUCAGGCCUCUUUGUAAUGGAGUUUUUUUUUUCUAUUUCCAGUCAAAUUCCCGUGAAAUCCCUGCGUUCAAAGGAGCCCUCGGUUGAAAAUGUGUUGGCCCGAACAUAAAUAUUGUUCGUCCGGGAUGACUAGUUAGGCAUUUCCAGCAACCAAAAAUAUUAUUAAUCAAUUAUACAAAAAAUAUGAAUUUUAUAUAGGAACAAUUCAAAGUACUAUACAACAAGGAAUAUUUGGAAAUAACAUGAAAAGGUUGUAAAGAUAUUGCACGGACAUACUAGAGAGAGCAGUAUUGUGAUAGUGCGGGAACAAUUCAAAACGCAUUAUGGGAUAUCUAAAAAUUGAGAAACAAUAGAAUCCGACUAUUAGAACAAUGCAAUUGUACCAUAGAAACAAUUCGUAACAUAUCAUGGAACAUCUGAAUAAUAUAAAAAGAAACAUACAAUGCACUAGAAAAACAUAAAAUAUAAUGUGAAAGAGAAUCAAGGUAUAAAGGACAAUGGGUGUUAAUUGCCAGAAAAAUAAAAACAUUCCAAGGAAUAAUGGAUUUCACCGUACAAACAAACCAAAAA
rnacentral:lncRNA from 1 species